rnacentral:rRNA from 1 species
AUGCAGUCGACGGAAUUUACAUGAAGCCUAGCGAUUGUAAAUUUAGUGGCGGACGGGUGAGUAACGCGUGGGUAACCUGCCUUGUACUGGGGGACAACAGUUGGAAACGACUGCUAAUACCGCAUAAGCGCACAGCUUCGCAUGAAGCAGUGUGAAAAACUCCGGUGGUACAAGAUGGACCCGCGUCUGAUUAGCUGGUUGGUGAGGUAACGGCCCACCAAGGCGACGAUCAGUAGCCGGCCUGAGAGGGUGAACGGCCACAUUGGGACUGAGACACGGCCCAAACUCCUACGGGAGGCAGCAGUGGGGAAUAUUGCACAAUGGGGGAAACCCUGAUGCAGCAACGCCGCGUGAGUGAAGAAGUAUUUCGGUAUGUAAAGCUCUAUCAGCAGGAAAGAAAAUGACGGUACCUGACUAAGAAGCCCCGGCUAACUACGUGCCAGCAGCCGCGGUAAUACGUAGGGGGCAAGCGUUAUCCGGAUUUACUGGGUGUAAAGGGAGCGUAGACGGUUUUGCAAGUCUGAAGUGAAAGCCCGGGGCUUAACCCCGGGACUGCUUUGGAAACUGUAGGACUAGAGUGCAGGAGAGGUAAGUGGAAUUCCUAGUGUAGCGGUGAAAUGCGUAGAUAUUAGGAGGAACACCAGUGGCGAAGGCGGCUUACUGGACUGUAACUGACGUUGAGGCUCGAAAGCGUGGGGAGCAAACAGGAUUAGAUACCCUGGGUAGU